rnacentral:rRNA from 1 species
GGAGGGUGCGAGCGUUGUUCGGAAUUACUGGGCGUAAAGCGCGUGUAGGCGGCCUUGCAAGUCAGGCGUGAAAGCCCUCGGCUUAACCGGGGAAGUGCGUCUGAAACUGCUUGGCUUGAGUACGGGAGAGGGAGGCGGAAUUCCCAGUGUAGAGGUGAAAUUCGUAGAUAUUGGGAGGAACACCGGUGGCGAAAGCGGCCUCCUGGACCGAUACUGACGCUGAGACGCGAAAGCGUGGGGAGCAAACAGGAUUAGAUACCCUGGUAGUCCACGCGGUAAACGAUGGGCACUAGGUGUGGGGGGUAUCCACUCCUCCCGUGCCGAAGCUAACGCAUUAAGUGCCCCGCCUGGGGAGUACGACCGCAAGGUUA